UUCUCCGACCAUCAUAAUCUGUCU
rnacentral:snRNA from 1 species